CCCCAUAAGUCAAACACAUUUUAAAAUAUUUUUCUAACUAAAAUAUUUCUUAUUUUUCUAAUUUUGAAGGUUUCUAGUACAAACAUGUCACCCUUGGGUUCUCUCUGUGGCUGUAUGGCAGCUUCUUACAAACAAGUCUUGCAUGGCCUGGUCUUCUGCCUUUAGUCUGAGCAAUAUUUGGAGAAGGGUCCUUCUGCUCAUCUUCCGGAAGAUCUGUCUCAGAAUUAGUGUGAAAAGAUUUUGCCACAUCUGGGCCCCUUAAGACAUCAACAACGAUCUCAGAGACUGUCAAGAACCUUCUGCCUUUUAAAAGACCAGUAACUAAUACAGAACUUCUGAGUCCACCAUCCCGAGAGAAACAAAUUAGGCAAAUGCGGAUAUAUGAGAUUUGUCAUUUGAUGAAUAAACAAGAACUUCUCCAGGGAGAAGAGGAGCAGCUUGAGUGAGCACGGUUUCUUGAGUAUGUGGAGGGGGAGAAUGAAGUUAUUGUUAUCUGCUGUGACACCUAGAGCAGCCUGCCCACCACCAACGACGACUGUCCGUGGCAAGAGUCUGGGAUCAAUUAAGGAAAAGUGAACUUCUAACCUAUGUGAACUGUCACGGUGGAGUCCUGGCCUGGCUGAUCUUCGAGUUUCCAGAGGUUAAUGACAGCACUCCACAGCUGACAAGAACCUCCCCUCUUUUCUACCUCCACUGACUAAACUCUGCCCUCUGAAGCCCCAGAGGGAGAAAGUUCGCUUUCCCCUUAUUUCUAGAGUAGAAAAAAAAGAAAAGAUAAAUAUAGUCUUGUUCGAGAAGGAACCUCCCUUAUCUAGAGCAGUGGCUGAUACGUAAUGGGUGCUCAAUAUAUUUUUAUCAACUAUUAAUAUAAAAUAAACCCUAAGAGGAGUUCAGCUCACAGUUCCUGAUCUAAACACCAGUAAUAAUAAUGAUGAUGAUGAUAAUAAUAAUAAUAUCAAUCAUCUAUCUGUUAAAUGCUUCCUAUGUAUCAGACGUUGUCUUUAUAUAUGUAGGCACCAAUCAUUCAAGUAUUCUGUACAAUAGAUGCUAUUUUUAAUGGCCAUUUAAUAAAGGCAGAUUGAACAACUUCCCAGGUCACACAGCUAUUCAGUGGCAGAGCUGGCUGUAAAUAUAGCCAAAGCAAUCCCAGCACUUGUGGUUAAACCACCAGCUUGUCUUGCCUCCAAUAAUUUACCGGGAGCAUCCAUUCAUUAGGCAGAAGUAUGUAUUCAAAAGUGAAGGCAUCCACUUUGGUUUUGAGCUUAACCAAAAUUCUCAUAUAAAAUUUCAAAAAGCAUUCUAACAGCCCUUUUAAUGUUUAUAACAAUCCUAUGAAGUGGAAGUUAUCAGCCCUAGUUUAUUAAUGAGAAAAUGGUGUCAACAUGGUUCAGUGGUUUAAAAUGAUAACCCAUUUAAUAAGUGUUGAACUCUGUCUCCUGAGUUUAAUCUUCUAAACCAGGCACUUGAGUUUACCAUAUACUGUUGAAUGUUGCAUUUCAGGGUUAAUUUUGCAUCAGCAAGAAUUUUAAUUCAGUUUUAACGUCUGACUCUGACUAACUAGGUUAAUUGAGUUCAUUGAGGUACAAUUUGCUCAUCUCAUAAUAUGAAGCUAAUGAUACAACCUAUGCUUUCUGUCUCAGUGGGUUUUCAUGAAGAAAAGAUGAGAUGUGAAAAGUCUUUGCCAGCUGUAAACUUGCAGGCACAUUUAAAUUGCCACUGUUAUUAUUUUUCAGAAUCAUUUUUAUUUCCAGGAAACAAUGCCAAAACGGGAAGCUCACUGGAUUAUAAUUUGGGGGCAUUAUACAUUCAAAUCAGAAUUCAUUUAUUUAUUUAUUCAUUUAUUUGUUCAACAAGUGGGUUUUGAGUAUCUAUUGUAUGAGACGAACACUAUACGAGACCCUGUAGAAUAUACAAAGGAAUUGCUCUUUGAGCAAAUAUUACCUGUCAAAUUGUAGCUGUACAGAAUACAUGGCUUUUCACCAUUAGUCCAUCCGCCAUCCACAACUAUAUUCUGAGCAUGACUCAGUCAUUAAUAAAUACUUCAUGCAAAUUAUUAGAAAAUUACUAUGUUACUCAAGCUUAGCACCAUCUGUGUUAUCCAUGUUUUCUGCCCCAAACACACACACACACACACAUAUCCUGACUAGGCAGUGUCCUAGGCUGUGGGUAUUCAGAGUCUCAUAAUCUAUGUGUGAAGUUAGGCAAUUAAAUCAAUUACUGUAAUUAUAAGAACUACAAGGGGUUAUGCAGAGAAGUCUGUGACUUCACAGUCUACUGCUAACGCAAGACCUUGCAAAAUCACUUAGCCUUUGUGUCAACCACAUUAGACUAAAAGAAAAAAUGGGUCUGAAAACUAGAAAAUUCGAUGUGGUGAUGUUUUAAAACAACUCACAACAAGGGGAUAUUUGCAAACAAACCUAAAUGUUUUCUAUUCAAUCCAACAGGUGUUCUUUGACACCCUGUGUAUGGUCGAUACUGAAUUUUUUGGCGUCUUUGAAAACAACCACCUAUUCUCUGUAGGCAGAAAUGUAUUCUCUAGAGCUGUUUUUCCAAUAACAUUUAUUUUAACAAUAAUAUGCUUAGUCUGCUGUGAAAAUACAACUUCACUGAUUAGGCAGCCAGCCCAGUCAAACAUUGUUUGGGGUUAUAAUUAUAGCUAUUUAAUUGUUGAACAAUCUCAUAAUAGCUGCAAAAGAAUCUCCGUUUGUUUAUAUGCAGCAAUUUAAAACUUGUUUUCUUCUCUUUAUUCUUUUUCCUCUUUAAAGGAGAACUCAGGAUAAGUCUCGCCUGGAGCCCCAGAGUACAAUUAAGCCCUCUACAAAACACAUUGGGACUAGGAGGCUCUCUUUUGGUUAAAGCAAGGAGCUUUUGCCAUGAUUUGUUUUAAUUUGAUAAACAGAGAGAGCUGUUCUGUUCUGAGGCCUCUUUCCCCCCACUCAGAAAGAGGGUGUUUAUGUACAGCUGCGGGGAAUUACUCACAAGAGGUUUAAACAGUGGAAAAAGAAAACAUCCUCUUUUCUUUUUGGACCCACCCAGCCCACCAAGGUUUACAGACUUAGCCAAUGGAAAGAUAGAUUACGGUUCACUGAAAACUCCCCUUGGAAAAUGGAGACCCAGACUCCAUCAGGACAGCUACAAGAUGUGAAGGGCUGACAAAGUGGCGUUAGCAGCUGCAGGGGCAUGGCAAGGAGAAAUCCUCUGAAGAGGCUUUGCUUGAGAGACAGCUUGUAGACUAGAUCCCGACAUAGAGCCAUGGUGAGCAGGGUUGUAUAAAGAUGUGUGGUGGGAGUGAAAUUAUGAAUGGCACUAUGGUCCCUACAGGGUCGGUAAACUCCGUUUUAGCCAAAAUGAACAAAAUCUAGAUUUUCCUGCUUUUAUUUUGUACAAUUUUUGGAUAAAGAAUAGAAUGGUCUAUUUCAAAUUUUCCCUCAACUCAAGUAAUCUUUUUCUAGGCAUUUUAUUUAACUACAUUGAUCUGUUCAAAAUAGAAGUAGAAAAUUUAGCUAAAUGAGAAAUUCGGUUAAAAGAUCUCAGAGUAACUUAACAACACCUUGAAAUGAGUGGUUAAAAUUUUAAUAAAUCAAUCAGUAGCUAUGCUAUUAUUGUUUCAAAUUAAACAUCAAAAGUUUUGAUUUGUGGGCUAUUUUUAAAUAUACUAAGUAUUGGCCCACUUGCAAGUCUCUACAAGGAAAUACAUUUACUGUUGCAAGCAGGAUGGAUUUUGAGCUUUAAAAAUAUGCAGUAAAUGUUUAUUUCCAUUACUUUUGAGUUUUCAUGAUUUUUUGAGAAGUAAGUCAUGGAGUAGAGUUUUCAGACUAAUAAAUAAUAAAUAAAUUAAAGAUUAAUAAGUAUAUAUAUUAUUUUGAAAGUAUAGAAUCAAAUUGUAAUGUUUUGUGGCAUUAUAUUUUACCUACUACAGUUUGAAAAAAAAGAAAGUAAAGAGAAAAAUAUAGAAUAUUUUAUGUUUGUUUCUUGGAGUAGAAGUCACCAAAUUAACUUUUAUCAAAACAUCCUUAUAUAGAGCUGUCAUGGCUAUACAUUUCUGGAAAAAAUAUUUAAAGAAAACUUUCCUGUAUGCAUGGCUUAAUUAAAUAGAGCUUUGUUAAAUUUUCCUUGAACAUUUGUUGAAUAUAACAGUUGAGUAAAUAAUUUAACUUAGAAUUCCUUAAAACAUUAGUAUGCCAGCUUUAAAUAUUUUCUUCAAAUUGUCAUGAAGAUGUCAAUCUAGAGACGAAAUUCUUAAUUUGUCUCGAUGUCUCUGCUGUAUUGGACUCUUGAAGUAUUCUUAAAAUCCACUCUCUCUCACUUGCAUGUUUUUGUAGAGUGACGUGAAGAUAAGUUCAAAUUCAAUAAUUCCAAAUUAAUUUUAUUUACCAUUUCUAAAUUUACUUUGAAUAUUGCACCCAAAUAUGGUGACUCAGUUUAUCUAUGGUAAACUCAGGUGCUAGGCCAUAUAUACAUGCUUUGCAAUUUUAAGCUCUCAAAGGAUACAAAAAGCAGAUUCUUAGAUCAAACAGGUUUCUUGUUUGAAAAAAAUCUCUCAUGAUUAACCUGCUUUUUUCCCCUAAAGUAUAACUUCGAAGAAUAUCAUUAUGCCUACUUCACAUGAACGGGUUUUCUUUUUUUGAAUGUAUUUCAUCACUAGGUAGAGAUGGAACAAAUUCAAACAUAAUCAGCAAUGGCGGUUGUAGAGAUUUCAUAAAGUAUUUAGAAUUUUCCAUCAUCCUCCAUUUAAAAUGAUAACAAACACUUGGUCUUUUAGCCAUUUAAUUCAUAUUUUUUACAAAAGAAAAUAUAUCAUUCAUAGGAAGCACAUAUGACAUAAUUGGGGAAGCUCAUUGUAAUCAUUGCCAUAAGAUUAUUCUGGAGAAAAUGUUUGGUUUAUGCAAAUUAGCCAGUAGUUGAAGUAGAGGGAUGUUUAUUCAGUGUUUUAAGGGAAAUAAAAUCAAAACCCUAAGUCUCAGUUUUUUGUAGUAAGAAAUAAAUGACUUCAAGAGAUAAUUCUCUUCCCUUUCUCUCUCUCCCUCCAUUUUGACCUUCCUUUCAUGAUAAACUUGUUUUCAUAUUUUUAAAUGUCAUUGUUAAAUUUAUUUUUCUCUCCUAAAAAAAAGUGUCUUAUUUUUUGUUUAUUUCAAUGUUGUUUUUCUACAAUCUUGCAAAGUCUAACCUAUCUGGCACAUAAUAGCUGCUCAAAAAUAUUUGUUGAGUGAAAAUGAGUAAAUUAAGUCAUGCAUACUCAUUGUAGAAAAUGUGAAAAAUAUAUGCUUCCCUCCAGAAGAAGGAUGUCGGGGAAGAAAAGUGUGCUGGACCUUCCAGUGGUUUAUCAGUGUCUGUGCAAAGCCUGCCCUUGGGUUUGUGACUGCCCUUAAGCGGUUUCCCAUCUAGUCGUGUCCCUCUUUCCCUCUUUGAAGUCCACUGAGGAGCUGAGCAGAGCUAGAAAGGAUAACAGAAGCAAGCCAAAUAAGAGGUAGCCUUUAAAACAUAAUUGCCCUGGACUCCAUGGACUUAGAAAAAGUCCAUUCAUGGCUAGAAGAUGAACAUUAUUUAUCCAAAAGGUUGCAGCUGUUACAUUCUCUUGAGAAAACACAAAGUAGGACCUAUCCACGCCAGGUUUUUCUGAUUGCCUAACUUGAAUGAUUCAGAGAUAAAAUCCCAAAAUAGGCAUUUAUAAAGGCAAGGAUGAGAGGCAGAAAAGACUCAGAACUGAGGUUGGUACUCACUACUGCUGGUUCUUAAACUCCAAACCCAUAAGCUAUUUUUCUCCCAAUUUUGCCAUUUUGCCUAGGUGAUAGCCCCGGGCCAGUCAAAACGGUCACAGGCAAUUCUGUUCUGUCUACGCUACUGGUUAUUUCUGAAAAACAAUAACGGAAGCACUGAAUCAAAUAAGGAAACCAGAAAUCUUAAGCCCUCAGAUAAAUAAGAAAACAAAAAAGUGAGAGGCGAGACUUCAUUUUCCCAGGAAUGUCCACAUCUCUAUAGAGUCAGUUUCAAAGUGGAUUUGCUUUGAAUAGGGUUUGGAUUUGCCAACAGCCUAUUAGUAUAUAAUACACUGCUCACAAUGCUCCAAGAAAGGAUCUGAAGUUUGUUGUAGUUUUCCCACUUUCCCAGAGAUGGGGAGAGCCAAGAGUAAGGGGUGAAGGAAAGUGGGCAAAAGAUUGUAAGAGUAGGAGAAAACUUGUUGGAUCCAAUCCAGCCGUCUUCAAAGGAUAACCUCUUCCAAACAGAGCAAACCUUCAGGGGAAGAUUAUGCAAAGCCCCUGCCUUCCAGCACCCCUGAAAACCUGCCACCCCCGUCCAUUCAGAUUUGAGGAUUAAGAAAACUCGGGGAAUGAAAGCAUCUAUUUAUCCCUGGUCCAUGUCAAGAAUUGUUCUCCUGGGCUGGAUCCUAUGGGUUUAUUGGUGGUGUGAUCAUUGCUUUU